rnacentral:rRNA from 1 species
AACUGAGAUGCUCCGGUAACCGGAGCUAAUACCGGAUAACAUUUUCUCUUGCAUGAAGAGAACAUUGAAAGAUGGUUUCGGCUAUCACUUACAGAUGGGCCCGCGGUGCAUUAGCUAGUUGGUGAGGUAACGGCUCACCAAGGCAACGAUGCAUAGCCGACCUGAGAGGGUGAUCGGCCACACUGGGACUGAGACACGGCCCAGACUCCUACGGGAGGCAGCAGUAGGGAAUCUUCCGCAAUGGACGAAAGUCUGACGGAGCAACGCCGCGUGAGUGAUGAAGGCUUUCGGGUCGUAAAACUCUGUUGUUAGGGAAGAACAAGUACAAGAGUAACUGCUUGUACCUUGACGGUACCUAACCAGAAAGCCACGGCUAACUACGUGCCAGCAGCCGCGGUAAUACGUAGGUGGCAAGCGUUAUCCGGAAUUAUUGGGCGUAAAGCGCGCGCAGGCGGUUUCUUAAGUCUGAUGUGAAAGCCCACGGCUCAACCGUGGAGGGUCAUUGGAAACUGGGGAACUUGAGUGCAGAAGAGAAAGCGGAUCCCGUGUAGCGUGAAUGCGUAAGAUGUGGAGACCCAGUGCAGGCGCUUUGGUUUACGACCGAGCCAGCUGGACACAGAUAGAUCCUGUAUCCCGAACAUAUCAGGUAAGUUCGCUUAUCGCGUACCUAGCUGCGGAUCGUCAAUACUAGAUACGGCGCACGGACUGUAUCACACAACUCGUGCUCUCCUAUACUCCGCAUAGUCGUUUCGUGAUGUUCACCAUUCUUCUGUGACAGAUUUCUGCCUGUGAGCUCUUUAUUGUAAAAAUUUNNNCGAUGGUCCCCUAGA